AGCGGCGAACGGGUGAGUAACACGUGGGUGAUCUGCCCUGCACUUCGGGAUAAGCCUGGGAAACUGGGUCUAAUACCGGAUAUGACCUCCUAUCGCAUGGUGUGUGGUGGAAAGAUUUAUCGGUGCAGGAUGGGCCCGCGGCCUAUCAGCUUGUUGGUGGGGUAAUGGCCUACCAAGGCGACGACGGGUAGCCGACCUGAGAGGGUGACCGGCCACACUGGGACUGAGACACGGCCCAGACUCCUACGGGAGGCAGCAGUGGGGAAUAUUGCACAAUGGGCGAAAGCCUGAUGCAGCGACGCCGCGUGAGGGAUGACGGCCUUCGGGUUGUAAACCUCUUUCAGCAGGGACGAAGCGCAAGUGACGGUACCUGCAGAAGAAGCACCGGCUAACUACGUGCCAGCAGCCGCGGUAAUACGUAGGGUGCAAGCGUUGUCCGGAAUUACUGGGCGUAAAGAGUUCGUAGGCGGUUUGUCGCGUCGUUUGUGAAAACCAGCAGCUCAACUGCUGGCUUGCAGGCGAUACGGGCAGACUUGAGUACUGCAGGGGAGACUGGAAUUCCUGGUGUAGCGGUGAAAUGCGCAGAUAUCAGGAGGAACACCGGUGGCGAAGGCGGGUCUCUGGGCAGUAACUGACGCUGAGGAACGAAAGCGUGGGUAGCGAACAGGAUUAGAUACCCUGGUAGUCCACGCCGUAAACGGUGGGCGCUAGGUGUGGGUUCCUUCCACGGAAUCCGUGCCGUAGCUAACGCAUUAAGCGCCCCGCCUGGGGAGUACGGCCGCAAGGCUAAAACUCAAAGGAAU
rnacentral:rRNA from 1 species